GCCCAGUGAUGAGACUAAGGCAGAUGCGAGUUCACUGAAUUAGAGUCGAGUUCUUCUGCCAAAUCCAGCAGGUAAUCUUGGCAGUGCAGGGGAGGAUUCCUGCACUGCUGUAAGGGCCUGCUGACAGUGACUUGGCUCAACCCGUGUCAUUAUUCCGGUAAAGCCAUGUUGGAAUAAUCAUGAGGAGGAAGCCGACAGUGUGUGUGUGUGUGUGCGUGCAUGUAUAUGUGUUUGUUGUGUGUAACUGGCUAGAGGUGUUUCUCUGCUCUCGUUAGUGUUCAGUGAGAAAUGAGCGGUGUCUUUGGUAAUCUGAGGGCU
rnacentral:snoRNA from 1 species